rnacentral:rRNA from 1 species
UACGUAGGUGGCGAGCGUUGUCCGGAUUUACUGGGCGUAAAGAGCGCGCAGGCGGCUGGUCAAGUCCGAUGUGAAAGCUCCCGGCUUAACUGGGAAAUUGCAUCGGAAACUGAUCGGCUGGAAGGUGGGAGAGGGUAGCGGAAUUCCCGGUGUAGUGGUGAAAUGCGUAGAUAUCCGGAGGAACACCGGUGGCGAAGGCGGCUUCCUGGACCGACACUGACGCUGAGGCGCGAAAGCUAGGGGAGCAAACGGG